ACACUUAUUUUAAACUGGAUCCAUAACUGUUGGAUUGGGUUCAUCCCUACAGGAUCAGAGAGGAUGAGACGAUCAGAGCCAAGAUCCAGAAGAACUGAACUCCCAUCCCCCGAGUCCUGCGGCAGGAAGCGCUCCUUCUCUCCAAGAACUCCUGGACCCUGCAAGCUGCUCCAGAACCAGAGUCCCAGUGAGGAGUCCAGCCAGUCCACCUCUCAGAGUUAAACUACAACAUUAUUAAAGAUCAUGUUUAAAGUUAAAAAAGGAUGCUUUCAGACUGAAUCCAGAAGUUUCUCAAGCUGCAGUCAAAGCAGGUCAUUUGAGGAAUAUAUAAAACAAUUAUAAAACUGUAAUAAGAAUUACUCUGAAUACUUUCUUUGGACAUUUUAUUUACAUUUAUUUUAAUCAAAUGUUUCUGACUUUCUAUCCGAGUGCUUUUCUCAUGAACUAACGACUUCAAUCUUCUUUCUUUUCUCGUGUAUUUCAUAAACAGGAUAUUGUUGUUUGUACUUAUAUCCUGCUUGAUGAGUCAGCAGUAAAGCAGCCAGGCGUUAACGGUCAGCUGGCAUGUGUAUCUGUUCAUUGGCUCAUAUGUGUAGCAUGUUUAAUGGCAGUGUGUUGAAAAUGGCUGACAGGUGAAUAUGUCAGAUCUCUGUGUGUUACUCAGAGAACCGUGUGCAGUGUUUUAGAAAGUGCAGAGUUGAAUUGCAGAUUGUGUGCAGAGCUGAAAAUGUGUUUAGAGUUCUGUUUGAUUUGAUCCAGCCAGUUCUGCCACAGCAAAGCAUAAGGGCUCAGAGCUUGGACCUAUUGUGUUCACAUUAUAUACGCUUCCUUUAGGCAAUAAGGAAUCACUCGGGACAUUUUCAUUGUUAUGUGGAUGAUACUCAAUUAUACACAAUGUAGACAAAAGUAUUGGACCACCUACACAUUAGAGAGAUACCGCAGGUCCUUCCUUCCUGCAGCGGUCAGACUAUAUAACCACCACGACCCCUAGUAGACCCCCCACACAACAACACAGACUAUAACACCUAUUAUCAUUUCUUUUUAAAAUCUUUAAUACUUUGUUGGAUGCAUGCUUUAGGAAACAUGAAGGUGUCUUUGGCUCUUUCUGCUGUAACAAUGUACAUGUAUCCUCUGUGGGACUAAUAAAGGUAUUCUCAUUCUGA